GACGAACGCUGGCGGCGUGCUUAACACAUGCAAGUCGAACGGAAAGGCCCUGCUUUUGUGGGGUGCUCGAGUGGCGAACGGGUGAGUAACACGUGAGUAACCUACCCUUGACUUUGGGAUAACUUCAGGAAACUGGGGCUAAUACCGGAUAGGAGCUCCUGCUGCAUGGUGGGGGUUGGAAAGUUUCGGCGGUUGGGGAUGGACUCGCGGCUUAUCAGCUUGUUGGUGGGGUAGUGGCUUACCAAGGCUUUGACGGGUAGCCGGCCUGAGAGGGUGACCGGCCACAUUGGGACUGAGAUACGGCCCAGACUCCUACGGGAGGCAGCAGUGGGGAAUAUUGCACAAUGGGCGGAAGCCUGAUGCAGCUACGCCGCGUGCGGGAUGACGGCCUUCGGGUUGUAAACCGCUUUCGCCUGUGACGAAGCGUGAGUGACGGUAAUGGGUAAAGAAGCACCGGCUAACUACGUGCCAGCAGCCGCGGUGAUACGUAGGGUGCGAGCGUUGUCCGGAUUUAUUGGGCGUAAAGGGCUCGUAGGUGGUUGAUCGCGUCGGAAGUGUAAUCUUGGGGCUUAACCCUGAGCGUGCUUUCGAUACGGGUUGACUUGAGGAAGGUAGGGGAGAAUGGAAUUCCUGGUGGAGCGGUGGAAUGCGCAGAUAUCAGGAGGAACACCAGUGGCGAAGGCGGUUCUCUGGGCCCUUCCUGACGCUGAGGAGCGAAAGCGUGGGGAGCGAACAGGCUUAGAUACCCUGGUAGUCCACGCUGUAAACGGUGGGUACUAGGUGUGGGGUCCAUUCCACGGGUUCCGUGCCGUAGCUAACGCUUUAAGUACCCCGCCUGGGGAGUACGGCCGCAAGGCUAAAACUCAAAGGAAUUGACGGGGGCCCCGCACAAGCGGCGGAGCAUGCGGAUUAAUUCGAUGCAACGCGUAGAACCUUACCUGGGUUUGACAUGGAUCGGGAGUGCUCAGAGAUGGGUGUGCCUCUUUUGGGGUCGGUUCACAGGUGGUGCAUGGCUGUCGUCAGCUCGUGUCGGGAGAUGUUGGGUUAAGUCCCGCAACGAGCGCAACCCUUGUUCACUGUUGCCAGCACGUUAUGGUGGGGACUCAGUGGAGACCGCCGGGGUCAACUCGGAGGAAGGUGGGGAUGACGUCAAGUCAUCAUGCCCCUUAUGUCCAGGGCUUCACGCAUGCUACAAUGGCUGGUACAGAGAGUGGCGAGCCUGUGAGGGUGAGCGAAUCUCGGAAAGCCGGUCUCAGUUCGGAUUGGGGUCUGCAACUCGACCUCAGGAAGUGGGAGUCGCUAGUAAUCGCAGAUCAGCAACGCUGCGGGGAAUACGUUCCCGGG
rnacentral:rRNA from 1 species